UCAUGGAGGAGUGUCUGAACAAAGGGUGUGCUAUCAAUGUCGUGAAUUUCACUACAGUGAUUCACGGUUUUUGUCAGAACGAUGAGAUAGACGCUGCUCUCUCACUGCUCGAUGACAUGUACCUGAUCAACAAACACGCAGAUGUCUUCACAUAUACCACUUUAGUUGAUGCACUGGGAAAGAAAGGUAGAAUAGAAGAAGCAACGAAACUUACGAACAAGAUGCUUCAUAAGGGCAUAGAUCCCACCCCUGUCACAUACAGGACUGUCAUCCAUCGAUACUGCCAAAUGGGAAAGGUUGAUGAUCUCGUGGCUAUACUGGAGAAGAUGCUACUGCGGCAGAAAUGCAGGACAGUGUAUAACCAAGUCAUUGAGAAGCUUUGUGGUUUGGGAAAGCUCGAGGAGGCAGACAAAAUUUUGGGUAAAGUUCUGAGGACAGCUUCGACAUCUGAUGCUAAGACAUGUUAUGUGCUUAUGGAAGGGUAUCUUAAGAAAGGUGCACCUCUAUCAGCAUAUAAAGUGGCUUGUCGGAUGUUUAACCGUGAUCUGAUACCUGAUGUUAAGAUGUGUGAGAAGCUUAGCAAGAGACUGGUUCUGGAAGGAAAAGUUGAGGAGGCAGAUCAGCUAAUGCUACGCUUGGUUGAGCGUGGUCGUAUUUCUCCCAUUCCCUUAAAACAGUCCAUGGUAUCAUAAGCAUCGUAACCACAAACUUCUUGGUAGACUGCUUGAGGGCUCAUGCGAAAAGAGUGAUGGAAUAUAACUACAUGCUGUUGUAUUUCGUCGCUGGUUAGACACGACUUCCAGGUCUCAAGCCAAGCACCUAGGCUCUCACUCCGGAGCGGUCAAGGAUUUGGUAGUUGAUGCUCUUGGCUACCAGUUAUUCUGCUUCACAUACUCCUGGAAGCGACCCGUUAACUACUCACUGUUUCAAAUUUAAGUGAAAACUUACUAUCAAGUUUUAAUGUCUCUGUCCUCUUAAGUUUUUCUUACUAUAGUUAAGGUCACCGAUUGUUUCUCUGUGUUUGCAUUUGUGUCCGCAUGUCAUAAUAGUUAGAACAUUGUAAUAUGGGAUACGCAAACGAAAAUGCAAAGAACCAAUUGUGGCCUAAUUCAUGUUUCUUUCUGAUUUGUACUUUACUUAAUAGCAAGACUAUAGGUUGUUGACACUUCACAGUCAUGCAAUGCUAAGUAUACCUCUCUAUUUGUUGACACUUUGAUUAUUCUGAGUAGUGAGUUUAUUACAGACUGAUGUUUUGCUGGUUGCUGCUUCUUCAUUGGAUUACGUAAAAGGUGCAACUGAGAAAGCGUGACUGUAACACCAAAGUUUCUGGGCAUUUUUUUUUUUUCCUCUGGAAUUUUAUUGAAAGAAUAACGGACAAAGCCCAAGACCAACAAAAACACAAAAGGCCAGGAAAAGUCAGCAUAAGAAAGACAAAGCCUAAACAACAGGCCACUUCACAAUACAACUUACGGGCCUUAAGCCCAAAGAGGAACAGUAGGGGAAGAUGCCAGCUCCACCACCACGUGUCCGGACGCCCGGCGCCCAAUGAACACGCGUCACGAAUGGAAGGCACGAGCUCCCUCCGGAGACAAAGAAGCGGCAGGAUUGACCUCCGCCGUCAGCGGCGCGGAGAAGAAACGGAUCGGAUUCGUUCUUCACAAAAACCCUAGACGCUCAUCAGAUAUAUGCUUUAGAAAAGAUAUACAACCUACGUCAAUCAAUCCAACAACCGUAGACUUACGAUGGAGGAAGGAGAAUCGGUCGGACUAGAAACCACGAGAACCAUAGAUCAAAAAAAAAACGGGAUGAAUCCGAUGAAAGCCGCCGUCAACACCAAAGCUAGUGAGACGCGGAGACUAUAGCCAGCCGUCCUCAUCGGAGAAGAAGAUGAGAACGCCGGAGGCAAAAGCCGGACGACCACCGUGGAACAGAUGCGACGCCGGAAUCAGAGAUACGGUCGGAUGCACCGAAGCCGGAAAGGAAGCUUAAACAGAGGGCGAUUCAACACCAAAGCCACCGCCAAAACAAGACUGCUAACUCUCUCUCUGAAAGAUUUUGGAGAGAUAAGAGAGAGAGAAAGCGUUAGUUUCUGGGCAUUUAGGAUGCUCAUUUAAUCUGAAAGUUUUUUGCUAUUAUAAUGUUGAGAAAUAUUACAUAGACGAUUUUACAGUCGAUAAUUUAACCACCAUAUGAGAAUACACGUCUGACUGCGUCACUCACGUCUAACUGCGUCACUCCGAGCCGCACAUUUAACAAAUGGGAAGUUAAAAAAAGUGAAAAGCAUCCAUUGUCUAAUGGAUAUGACAUAGGUUUUCUAAACUUUUGGUAUAGGUUCAAAUCCUAUUGGACGCAAUAUCAAUAUAGAUAUAAAUAUAUUGAUAUUUAUCUAUUAUUUUCAUUUUUAUAUAAGAAUAUUUUUAUUCUGUUUAGAAAAUUUAUAAGAAAUAAAUAUUAUAAGAAAUAAAUUCUGAAUGCUUUAAGAUUUAAUAUUAAACAUAUACAUAUAUUAGUUCUAUACUUCUAUAUAUUAUAUAUAUACUUAACGUAAAUAUACUUCUAUUUUUUAUAAUUUCUCCUGAAGUACAACAAUAUAUUGAACUAAUUCAACAAGUCGACGCGUAAGAUAUCCAGCAUCUGAUGUGUGGACCGCAAUAUCUACAACUCCUUUACGGGCUCCAUAGCAAAAAAUAAUAUAUUCUGUUAAAGACAAUUCUUCGCGUAAAUUGCUUUGAAUAGGUAAAUCAAUCAUUUGUCUUUGGGGAUCCGACAUUAAUCCUCUCGUACCUACUAACUGAUGUACUUGAGAUGCAUUUCCUCUAGCUCCCUAAUUGUGUAAUGAAGACCUCUUGUAACUUUUUUUUCCAUAAUCUGUAUAAUUUGCAAUUUCUGGGGUUUAAAUUCCACACCUUCUGGUGUAAAAGAAGUAAUGAACCUUAAACCACUAGAUUAAGGGUUACAACAUCAAUUAUGAGAAGAAAAAGUAAAUAUUUUUGGUAUAUCUUUACACAUCGCUUUAUCAUUAAAGAUAUGAAUUAUUUUCUGUAUUUGGAUAUAGUGAAGUUGUUUGGUUUCUUGUUGCAUUAGAGCUCUGUUAUUGUAUUUUUGUAUUUUUUUUGGUUUAUUUUGCUUUGGGGUGAACCUAAUGUGUUGAAGGUACUUAUAAGACAUCACUUUCGUGAUAAUGCCUGUUUAUUGGCUGAUUCUGAUUAUCUGAUAGACUCAAAAACGAAAUCUAUAUUGUAAAUAUCGCUACUCUUCUUCAGAAUAUAGAUUCUACUUUUAUGAAGUAUUCUAAGAUUUCGAGAAAACGAAAUCUGGACUUAAUUUGAAUGUCUAUAAAAAGUAGAAAUUGCAUUUUGUACUUAACACGAACGUAUACAAGAAGUAGAAAUUGCAUUAUGUAUUUUUUCAUGAUUCUACAAAGUAUAGAAGGUGCCUUCUACAGAUAAAAAAAAUUUGUUUUUACAAAAAUUAAGGAAGUUUCAGUUAAAAAAAUAUUCCAAAAAUAUUAUAACUUCCUAAAACGUGUUCUGGUCGAUUUUCUAUGUCAAGAUAUAAAAAAAAAAUCAAAUUUGCCUUUAUUCUUCAUCAAUCUUAUGAUUUUUUCAUAGUUUAUCUUGUGAUUUUCACAAACUCUUGUUCUAUGAUGCAUAUCUAUACAAUAUGUGGUGUAUGGGAGAAAUUUAGGGUUCGGGUUUUCUUUUGUUCUUUUUUUGUUACCAUUUUGUUUUUUCUUUUCUUUUUUUUAUUAUUAUGCUUAAUUGUUUAAUAUGAAAUCUAUUAUUAUGUUAAAUUGUUUUUUUUGACAACACAUUUUUAAUUGUUUAAUAUGAAAUAUAUUUUUAUGUUUAAUAUUAUUAUAUUUAAUUUUUUUUUUUGACAUCACAAUUUUUUUUAAUUAAACCUUUAACAUUUUCAUUAUUAUAUUUAAUUGUUUAAUAUGAUUAAUCAAGGUUAGUUUUGGGAUUAUAAAAAAAAUUAUACUAUUAGGACAACUUCAUGUUGAUAUUAUACUAUAAGGACAACCAUGUUGUUCUUUUAUACCAUUUUGGCAAUUUUCUCUAUUUUUAAAACCCGACCAAAAGAUGAAACUAGAUAACUAUUUAGGUCACAACUUAAUAUGAUUUGAUCCAAUUAAACUUGUUUCAAAAUCCUUAUUUUUAUGUUUUUUUGAAUAUAUAUAUAUAUAUAUAUUAAAUAUGUUACAAAGAUCUAUCUAUAUUAUUAUUUUCAAAGUGAUUUUAAUAUUUAUUUGAUUAGAUAAGUGACUAAAAUUAAUAAAAAUAAAAAUUAUUCAUAAUCUAAAGAUAUAUGUAAAAAGAAAAGAUAAUUUUGAUAUAUGUUGUACUGUUAUCCAGAAAAUAUCUUUUAGUAAAAUGGUUAAAAUUUAACAAACAGAAAAAAUAACUAAAUAUUUAGUAAAAUUAUUAAUUCUCUAUAAUUAAAAAGAGAAUAUCGAGGGAUUUAUAAAUUUAUUUAUUAUUUAUUAAUAAUGAAGUGUACAAAAUAAUAUUAAAAGAGUCUAUUUAUAAUUAGUUUAAAAGUAUAUGAAAAGGAUAUGCAAAAAAUAUUCUUAUUCAUUUAAAUUUUGAAUUAAUUAAUUAACCAUUGAUUUUACAAAUAUAUUCAUGAUAUAUUUUACAAAUAUAUUCAGUAUAUGAAAAGGACAAUGUGUGGAAUAUCCCCAAUUAAGAUCCAAAUUUGCUGAAUGCCCAUAAUUAUGGAUAACCCAAAAAGAAGUAACCUUUUGACACUGUGCGGACGAAAAUGCCCUUAUGAUUUGUCGAAAACAAGUAACUCUAGAUUUAUCAGCUAAAUAUUUACAUAGCAUGUAACAAUCUAUAUACCAACUAACAUAUCCGCUAAUAAUUUCAGUAUCAUCUAACAAUCUAUGUAUCAAACAAAUGUAUCAACUAACAAAUCAUAUAUCAGUUAAUGAAACUAUUAACAAUUAAUUAGUUAUCUAUUAAAUAGCUCAAAAUCUAUUUGUAACAGCUAACACUUCAUGUAUCGAUUAAGAAUCCAUUAAAAUCCAAAUAAUAGCAGAUAAGUAAUAAAAUACUUACUAACGUAUAUAUUAUCUAAAAGUUGAUUGUGAUUCGAAAUUGGAAACAUUGGAAUUGGGGUGAAUAAUCUAAAGAUAUAUGUAAAAAGAAAAGAUAAUUUUGAUAUAUGUUGUACUGUUAUCCAGAAAAUAUCUUUUAGUAAAAUGGUUAAAAUUUAACAAACAGAAAAAAUAACUAAAUAUUUAGUAAAAUUAUUAAUUCUCUAUAAUUAAAAAGAGAAUAUCGAGGGAUUUAUAAAUUUAUUUAUUAUUUAUUAAUAAUGAAGUGUACAAAAUAAUAUUAAAAGAGUCUAUUUAUAAUUAGUUUAAAAGUAUAUGAAAAGGAUAUGCAAAAAAUAUUCUUAUUCAUUUAAAUUUUGAAUUAAUUAAUUAACCAUUGAUUUUACAAAUAUAUUCAUGAUAUAUUUUACAAAUAUAUUCAGUAUAUGAAAAGGACAAUGUGUGGAAUAUCCCCAAUUAAGAUCCAAAUUUGCUGAAUGCCCAUAAUUAUGGAUAACCCAAAAAGAAGUAACCUUUUGACACUGUGCGGACGAAAAUGCCCUUAUGAUUUGUCGAAAACAAGUAACUCUAGAUUUAUCAGCUAAAUAUUUACAUAGCAUGUAACAAUCUAUAUACCAACUAACAUAUCCGCUAAUAAUUUCAGUAUCAUCUAACAAUCUAUGUAUCAAACAAAUGUAUCAACUAACAAAUCAUAUAUCAGUUAAUGAAACUAUUAACAAUUAAUUAGUUAUCUAUUAAAUAGCUCAAAAUCUAUUUGUAACAGCUAACACUUCAUGUAUCGAUUAAGAAUCCAUUAAAAUCCAAAUAAUAGCAGAUAAGUAAUAAAAUACUUACUAACGUAUAUAUUAUCUAAAAGUUGAUUGUGAUUCGAAAUUGGAAACAUUGGAAUUGGGGUGAGAUAAUAAGAUUAGCAUUAUGUGUGUCAAAAGAAUCAGAAUAAAAAAAAAUUUGUGUUGAAUUAAAAAAUGAUUUGAAGAAUUUGUACGAGAGAUAAAGAGAUUAGAACACAUAAAAGAGAGAAGAGAGAGAGAGAGAGAGAUAAGUGUAUUAUAAUCAUUAAAAAUAUUUAAAAUAAACAAGGUUAUAUGACAAAUUACAUGGGUUUCUGAGUGUAUCUACGCCAAUUACUCUAUAUUUAAUACUGGUAAAAGAUAUCAAUGUUUUAACAUAUUUUCCUAUUAAAAUAAAAUUUACAAGGUUAGUCCAUUAAAAAUCACACAUGUAAAAAUCGGGUGAUUCUGUAUUUAUAAAAGUGAUGAAGCAUUAAACAGUUAGGAUGUGGCAAUAAAAUCUCUCAAAAUUAUGGAAAAGUAUUUAAUUGGUAGAGAUUGUAGCUUUUAUUUUGUUUGCUUUAGAAUAUAUUAUUAUGUAAGUUUUUCUGGUGUAGCUGUAGAUUUUACUGCUGUAGAUUUAUAUCAAUAGCUUUCAAAGUACUAAAUAUAAAGCUUUAGAAAAUUGAUUCCCAAAGCUAAUAUAUUUUUGUUUUUUAACUUUAGGGCUGUAGCUUUAAAUUAUUUAUUUAAAGCAUGAUUGAUAAACCAAACUGGCUAGCUGUAGAAAGAAAAUGAGCAGUGAAAAACACUCACAACACUUACCAAUCACCACUUAUAUCUAUUUUCUCUUAGAAAUUAUUUGAAAUACCAUAAACUAAAUAUUACUUUUCAAAUAUACUUUCAAUAAAAAAUGCUCUAAUAUUUUUAGUUUAAAAUUUAAUGAUUAUUUAUAGGGUUUCUUAUUUAUGGAUGAGACUGGUUUUAUAAACUUUAUAAAUAAUUUUUAAACAUUUAUAAAUGAUUUAAGAGGGUUAGUUUAGUAUUUUUCACCACAAAUUUAAUAUAUUUAUGAAAAUAGUUAUUCUUUAAAAUUAAAUAUUUUAUAAAAUUAGAAUUUCCAUUUUCUCUUUCUUUUCUAUUUUUGUAUUGCUAGAAACUCCUUACAAAAAUUUCUACCCACCAACUAGCCUACCAGGUUAGUUGUGGAUGCCCACAGCGUGAGAACUGUUCAAUCUCUUUACAGUACUGUUGAAUGUUCUGUGGUUAGUUAGUUAGCUUACAGUUACAACUUUACAGCAAAAAAAAAAAAGUUUGUAGAAACUUGAUGGCUUUGAUUGAACUAUCAUCCAGUAAGUUUUGUUUUUGUUACUUUAUGGUUUAACAAUAGGAAGUUAAAUUCUUUGGCCUUGGAAGCCUAAAUGAACUAGAUACCGUUCGUUUAGUUUAAUCACAAACAACCUUGUUGAAUCCUUCUUUUACUUCCCUAGGAAUCAUGCAGCCACAUUAUUGGGGUCUACCGGUGCUAAACCAUGCCAUUAGAAAUGCAGGAUUAUGUUGUUCCUCUAACGUUCUUCUGUGAAAACAUAAACAUUUAUAUAAUAUUUCCUUCUUUUCUUCCAUACUUUUCAAAAGCUGUGUUUUGCAUUUCAUCUUAUGGUUUAUUUAUUGACAUCACUGAAGUCACUCUGCGACAAAACACCAAAAUUCAUUUAGGUUGUAUCCUUUAGCAACUAAAAUAUCUACCUUAUUUAUGUAUUAUUUUUUUUUCACCUAUCUCUACAAAUGCAAAUACUGUAUGUGUUUUUUGUGUCAUUUAGGUUAAGUUUAAAUGUACACUGUUUUUUGUCGGCUUAUGUUUGCAAUCACUUACCUCGUUGGCUUAUUACUUUGUCAUAGGAUGUACUACGCGUCGUCAAGAGAAAACACAUUGGUUAUGGCCAUACAUUCUUUGUGCUUGACCUAGACCGUGUCUUUAAAGAUAUUUUGUAUUUUUUUUUAUACAAUCGCUUAUCGCUAAGCUUAUUACUUUGCGUUAGUAGUUGGGACGUAUUACGCGUUUGUCAAGAAAAGGCACAUUGGAUGACCAUCCAUUCUUUGUGCUUGACCUAUAAUUUCGUCUUUGAAGAUCUUGUGUUUGGUAUGAUCCAUUGGUAUAGCUUCUUGGUAGGCUUCAAGCAAAGAGAUUUUAAUUAACUAAUAUAAACUCUGUCCAUGUGAUGGACAUGAUAACUACAUGGUGUUGUAUUUGUUGUUAAGUUGAUAACAAUUAAUAAUAUAGAUCAUGGUGUUGUAUUUCUUCUUUGAUAUUCCUGGCGUGUGGAAGCCGGGUUAAUCAGAACUCGUUAUUCUGUUUGUUACUCGCAAUUUUGAAUAUAAGUGACACCUUACAAUCAAGUACUGAUAUAAGUCUCAAUCCUCUAAUUAAGUUCUACUUUAGUUAAAGUCACAACCGUUCUUUAAGUUUGUUUUCCAAUUGUUACAGUCAAUUAUUUAUUUUAUAUUAGAUUGUGAUUUAAUCCAUGUUCAAACCCAUAUGAGCUCAAGUUUAUAUAUUAAACCUCAUAUAAUAAAUGAAUUGAGGUAGCUUAUGAUAAACCCAACUCAUCACAAGUAUAAGAUAAGAUGACUAAUUUAGUUCAUUUUGACACCUCUACUCAUAAGUCAUAACAAUUGAAGUGAUAAAUAGUGAGGUAUAAUGUGCAUUGAUUGUAUGACUUCUGAAGUGUCUUUGCUUUCUUUUGGGUAAUAGUCCUCCUAUUACGUAAAAAUAAAAAUAAAAUCAGGUAUCAAAGCAACUUUAAUAAUAUAGUGUAAUUUUCCUUGAUUCUAUUUAAAUGUUAUAAAGGAAGGUGGAACGAUAAUCUCUAAUGAAGAUAGGAGAAAAGAUCAGAAUUGAAUGAGCAAGAUUGGGGUGUAAUAAUUACAGAGAGAUUGCAGAGAUUAGAAUAGUGAAUUGGAAAAGUCGGAGGUGAAGGCGACGAACAUUCUGCGUAGAAUAAGAUAGACCUAUUAUUUUUGUUCAGCCCAGAUUUACUGGACCUGUUAUAUUUUUUGUCGACAAAAUAAAAGUGAUGUGGCAAAACAGAGCUUCAUGAUUGGCCUGAAUAAAAAAUCCUACGUGGCACGCUCGUUGCUCUCCUUAUUCAGCUUUUAGUAGUGUUAGAUAAUUUAUAUGUCACUAUAUUUAAUUUAUAAAAUUAAAAAAUGAAACAAAAGCUCAAGUGUUAAGAUAUAUAUAUAUAUAUAGUUUUAACUCAAAAAAUACCAACCUCAUGAAUUAGUUAAGCUUUAAUGUAACUUGUGAUCUAAAUUAAGCUUGAUUAUUAAGUUCAUUUAUAAAUGAGCCUAAAAGAUGUCCAUACUUAUGAAAAAUUUAAGCAGAGUUGAGCAAGCUUAUGAACUUACGGCUUAUUUUGACGUUCUUAAUUUUGCGGAGAUGUUUCAUUAUAUGUCAUGUUAAUUCUGAAAAUGUUUUAACCACCAGUAAAAUACCAACAUUUGUUGUGGUUUUUCGGUUUAAGAAAAUUUCAUUUUCACGAACUGUUUAAAAAGAAAUUGAGAUUUGAUUUUGGGGCUAAGAUAAAUACUGAGUCUAAGAGAUUGUAAAUUUUUUUCAAUUCACAUAAUCAAUAGACAAACCCUAAACAGGUUUUGCCUCAAUACAUUUUUGCUCUUGAUUUUCUUUGCUUGCUCACGUUAGUCCACGUUAGUUCAUAAUGGCUAUAAUGUUUUAUUGGUCUUAGUUUGGUUUGAUGCAUUUGAGAAGGCGUGGCUAUAUCUCUAUAAUAUUAUUUGAGAAGUCACUUUCCUAUGUGUCGCUUUCACGUUAACUCUCACGAUGGUUGAUUACACUGAUACCGAAAUCACUUUCCUAUGUGUCGCUCUCACGUUAACUCUCACGAUUGUUGAUUACACUGAUACCCUUAAUGAAUUAACUUACAUAUAAAAUACUAUUAUUUUUUAUUUUAUUUAGUUUCCUUUUUAAAAAUUUCGAAAAUAUACACAUAUAAUAAAAAAGAAAUUUUUUAUAAAGUAAAAAAAAAGAAUUGAAAAACGAAAAUAUAUGUAUAUAUAAUAUGAUUUCAUAAAAAAGGAAAGUUCACAAAAUAGUAAUAUUACAUUUAAAAAAUAUUUUUAAAUAACAUAAAAUAUUAUUUUGAAAUAAUAAAAUACUUUCUUUAUAUCUAUAUUUUCUUAGAUGAAAAUUAUAAAUUUCUAUAUAACAUGAUUUCAUUAAAAACAAUUUACACAUAUAAUCUUGAUAUUAGAAACAGAAAUAUUAUUUCUUCUAAAACAUAAUUUAAACAAUACAAAAAAUUUCAAAUUAAUAAAAAUAUUUUUAUGUACCUAUAUAUUUUCUUAGAUGAUUACAUAAAAUAAUUAAGUAACAUAAACUAAUAUAUGUUUAAUUAUCUAAAAAUAUUUUAUAAUUAGUAAUAUUGAAAUUUUUUAUUUAUUUUUCAUAAAUUUAGUUGACUAUAAUAUUUUUCAAUUACAGGAAAUUAUCGAAAAAUUAUAUUUUACUUAUAUAAUAUUAUUUUAAAUACAAUCACAAUUUUUUUACUGCUUAUUUUUAAGAGUUUCAUAAAUUUAGUUGACUAUAAUAUCUUUCAAUUACAGCAAAAAAAAUAUCGAUAAAUUAUAUUUUACUUAUAUAAUAUUAGUUUUAAAUACAAUCACAAUUUUUUACUGCUUAUUUUUAAGAGAUAUUAAAAAAAAACUAAAAAACAAAUUCUAAAAUAAACAUCAUUUGAUCAAAUAGUUACAAAAUAGUUUAAUGAGGUAGAUAUAUUAUAUUUUAUGAUUAUUAAAGUUAUUUUUUCUUAAUAUUAAAUAUGUUUUUAAAUUUUAAAUUUUUUGUUUGUGGAACUUAAUAGAACCGUAUCAAAAUACCAAAGCAAUGAGACUUCAGAAUAUUAUCGUUUCGUUAUAUUAAUUUAUGUAAUUUUGAAUCAUACACUUUAGUUUAUUUUUUUAUUUCAUUCUAAGCACAAUAUAUCUUAAGUUAUACAUAAUCUUCAUAAAAUAUAUUUACAUAUCUAAGAUAACAACCACAUAAAUGUAAAUAAGAAAUUAAUUAAAAUUUUAAUAUAUAGAAUAAAAAAUAUUACAGUUGAAUUCAUAUAUGUAAUCUAAUUUACCCAAAUGAUAACUAAAUCGACUAAAAACAACAAAACCUAUUAGAUAUAACAUAUAUAAAAAUUAAAGUAAUAUAAUAUUAUUAAUAUAAAUGAUACACAUAAAUUAUAAAUUAAUUUAAUAUUAAAUAUAAGUAGCAAUCAAUUAUUAUAAUAUAUUUACUUUAGCAAUAUUUAUAUCCGUGCAUGAGCACGGGAAAAUCACCUAGUAACCAAUUAUAAAAAGAAAAAGAAAAUAUUUUGGGAAAGGUAGGAUUUAAUGGCUAAGGACAGAAUAGAUAUCUUACACAUCGUUACAACAUUAAAGGUAUCCAUUAUUUUCUGUAUUUGCUGUAUACAGAAGUUUUUUUUUUUUUUUUGGCGUAAAUUUGGCUGUAUACAGAAGUUGAUAGGUUGCUUGUUGCAUUAGCUCUCCGUUAUUGUAGUUUUGCUGGUUCUUGUUUGAUGUAUUGACGCAGAAUUAAGCCCGUCACUCAUUUUUUUAUGUGAAACUGGUGAUGUUGAAUGUACAUAUCUCGUGAUAGUGGCUGGCUGAUUCUGAUAGUAAGCCAAAUUAAAGGUGAAAACUGAGAAAGUAAAAGUAAAGACACCUCCUCAACUACUGUUUUUGUCGUAGGAUUUUUAUGAUCUUCGAACAAAAGAUCAUGUCCAUAUACUCCCAGUCUCCCAUACACAACCAUUCUAUUGCUGUUUGUUUUUUCAUGUAAGGCGCGCUACGAGACGUUCUCGUUUUUCUCACGUUGAAAACUCUGUUAAUUACCAUAUAGUCCCAUACACAAUCAUACUUGAAAGAAAGUGUUACUUUCAAGAAUCUUUUGUGAAAAAAGUAUUUUUGGAAAAAAUAUGUUGGUGAUGUGAUUUGUUGUUUUGUUUGUAAUGCUAAAAUGGUAUUUACCCGGUUUAUGAAAGCGAUUAGAUUUAUUAUUGUCCUUUAGCGGAGGAUCUAUCUACAGGGUUCUACCUUAGACCACCACUAUCCCUGUUUCUUAACUGGGUUUUUAAAGAAAACUAAAUUUUAACCCGUACACCCGUGCGGUUAACAUUUCAUUUAUAAAUAUAAAAUUUUAUAUUAUUUUAUACAUAAUAAUUUAUGAUAAUAUAUUACUGUCAUUUUAAAAAUAACUAAAUAGAUGAUAUAUAGUUCUAAAUAUUAAAAUUUAUCAUAUGUUAACAAUUUUAUUUUUUGCAAAAUUAUUACAUAAUUUAUGAAUAUUAAUCAUUUCAAAAGGUGAAUGAUAUUUUAGUCACUUUAAACGGUGAAUGAUAUUUUAUUUAUUUAUCUUAAUGAAAGUAUUUUUUCAAAAUAUAUUGGUUUACCAAUUCAACAUAAUUUUAAUAUGUUUGCAAAAAAACAUAAUUUUAAUAUGUAAUUCAUUAAUUAUUUCUAUUUUAAUAUAAUGUAGAAUAUACUUAUAAAAUUUAUAAAAUUAGUGAAAAAUUUCAUUAUUUUAUUUAUAAUAAAAUUUUAAUUAAAAUUAAUUUAUAAUAAUAUUAUACUACUAAUUGUGAAAUUAAUCAGUGUAUUAAUUAAAAGAAUAUUUAAAUUUUUUAAAAAAAUUUGUUUGUCUUUUUCUCAACAUAUUUUUUUAUUCCUAUAACUAAAAUUUAAAUUUAUAGUUAAAAUGGAUUUGUUAUUAAUAUCCUUAUUAUUAUUUAGAAAUGUUAUACAUUAAAUAAACUAAUGUAAACAAUAAAAAAAUUAUUUGAAUAUAUGAACCUAGACUUCUAGUAUGACUAUUUUGUAAUAGAUAAAAAUGAUAUUUUUAUUUUAAUAGAAAAGAUAACUCAUUUAAUUAAAUCUAAACUAAAUAUAAAGUAUAUUACCGAUCCUAAAGUAAGAAUUUUGAUGACCGAUUCUAAAGUGGGUUUUGGAAACAGGUGUCAGCCAAGCAUGGAUUCUAUUUUUCUUUUCUUUUCUCUUUUCUUUCUUUUCUUCUCAGUCUUGUAUUCUCAGUCUCGUGUUCAAUCGAAACACACCAAGAACAAUUGAAACCCGUAGUCGGGUUCCCCAUCAUCAUCACUUCUCCGUCUCGUCUUCUCUGUCUCGUCUUCUCCGUCUCAUCCUUCUGCUUUCUGUAAGUGUGUAUUUUUGUCGAUGAGGGUUUUGAUUGAUCUAGUGUUUAAAGCUCAAUCCCUUUUUUUUUUUAAUUUUGCUAUCAGGAGAUCGAAGAGAGGAAGAUGAAGAUAAUGACCUGGCCUUAGGCAACGAGUUUACUAUUGGAUAUACUUGACUUACAAGAUAACUACAAAUCUAGAUUAUCUUAGCUGUACAUAUUCUUAGAAUAUGUUGAGUAUAUUACUUUGUCAUGUACUUAUAAAUAUUGUACGUUGAUCAUUCAAUAAAGUAUCAUUCUCUCAUAAGUCUUAUAUGGUAUCAGAGCUCUGAUCUCUCAAAACCUUUCUUUUUCUUUUCAAAAAUGUCGUCUGAAUCCAGCGCCGCCACUGCUGAACGCACCGCGGUUUACAACUCAAGUGAUCCUAACAACUCACUUCUCUCGGUGAACAUGGGCAACAUCACCAAACUCACCAACACAAACUAUCUCAUGUGGAGCAAGAAGAUCCAUGCUUUACUCGAAGGUCAUGAACUUCACACCUUUCUCGUUGCACAUGACUCCAUCCCUACGCCAACUAUUGAAACAGAUGGUGCAACAGAACCAAACCCUGCAUAUAUCACAUGGAGGAGACAGGAUCGCUUACUCUACAGUGCGGUCCUAGGUGCGCUCUCCCUCCCAAUCCAACCUCUUGUUGCCAGUGCCACUACCACACAUGAGGUAUGGAGCACGCUUGCUAGUGCGUUUGGUACUCCAACCAGGGGUCACAUACGACAGCUGAAGUUCCAGAUCAAAAGCUGCACUAAGGGUUCCACAACCAUCAGUGAAUAUCUACGCACUAUGAAAACGAAAGCUGAUGAACUCGCGCUACUAGGCAAGCCAAUGGAUCCUGAGGAUCUCAUUGAACAAGUCCUUGCUGGACUUCCGGAGGAGUACAAACCUGAAAUAGAUGCUACCAAUGGUCGUGACAAUCUCAUCUCCUUUACGGAGCUUCACGAGAAACUGGUAAAUCGGGAAGCGAUGAUACUCUGUGCUCAACCAUCAUCUCCAGCCUUCCCAAUCACGGCAAAUCAAGCAUCUCGGUCCAAAAGCAACAACAACAACUGGCGCAAUCAAACUCCUCAACAUCAUCAGCAACAGCAACAAUCUCAGGGUCAACAACAACAACAAAACCGCAACUACACAAGGCAGUCUCGUCCUUAUCUUGGAAAGUGUCAAGCAUGUGGCGUUCAGGGUCACAGUGCUCAACGCUGUCCCAUGUUCCGUGUUAUACCAACUCAGAAUGCACCCUCCUCAGGACAGCAAUGGCGUCCCAGUGCCCAUCAAGCAGGUCUCAACACGAUGAACCCUGAAGGCUGGCUCAUGGACAGUGGAGCAACAAACCACGUGACAUCAGACUUCCACAACCUGUCACUUCACAACCCAUACACGGGAAGUGAUUCCAUUGUCAUUGGCAACGGCUCUGCACUUCCAAUAACACAUACUGGUUCUUUUCGCUCUCACACUCCUACUCGAGACUCAUUUUCACGAACUGUUUAAAAAGAAAUUGAGAUUUGAUUUUGGGGCUAAGAUAAAUACUGAGUCUAAGAGAUUGUAAAUUUUUUUCAAUUCACAUAAUCAAUAGACAAACCCUAAACAGGUUUUGCCUCAAUACAUUUUUGCUCUUGAUUUUCUUUGCUUGCUCACGUUAGUCCACGUUAGUUCAUAAUGGCUAUAAUGUUUUAUUGGUCUUAGUUUGGUUUGAUGCAUUUGAGAAGGCGUGGCUAUAUCUCUAUAAUAUUAUUUGAGAAGUCACUUUCCUAUGUGUCGCUUUCACGUUAACUCUCACGAUGGUUGAUUACACUGAUACCGAAAUCACUUUCCUAUGUGUCGCUCUCACGUUAACUCUCACGAUUGUUGAUUACACUGAUACCCUUAAUGAAUUAACUUACAUAUAAAAUACUAUUAUUUUUUAUUUUAUUUAGUUUCCUUUUUAAAAAUUUCGAAAAUAUACACAUAUAAUAAAAAAGAAAUUUUUUAUAAAGUAAAAAAAAAGAAUUGAAAAACGAAAAUAUAUGUAUAUAUAAUAUGAUUUCAUAAAAAAGGAAAGUUCACAAAAUAGUAAUAUUACAUUUAAAAAAUAUUUUUAAAUAACAUAAAAUAUUAUUUUGAAAUAAUAAAAUACUUUCUUUAUAUCUAUAUUUUCUUAGAUGAAAAUUAUAAAUUUCUAUAUAACAUGAUUUCAUUAAAAACAAUUUACACAUAUAAUCUUGAUAUUAGAAACAGAAAUAUUAUUUCUUCUAAAACAUAAUUUAAACAAUACAAAAAAUUUCAAAUUAAUAAAAAUAUUUUUAUGUACCUAUAUAUUUUCUUAGAUGAUUACAUAAAAUAAUUAAGUAACAUAAACUAAUAUAUGUUUAAUUAUCUAAAAAUAUUUUAUAAUUAGUAAUAUUGAAAUUUUUUAUUUAUUUUUCAUAAAUUUAGUUGACUAUAAUAUUUUUCAAUUACAGGAAAUUAUCGAAAAAUUAUAUUUUACUUAUAUAAUAUUAUUUUAAAUACAAUCACAAUUUUUUUACUGCUUAUUUUUAAGAGUUUCAUAAAUUUAGUUGACUAUAAUAUCUUUCAAUUACAGCAAAAAAAUAAUAUUACUUGAGAAGUCAGUUUUCUAUGUGUCGCUCUCACGUUAAUUCUCACGAUGUUUGAUUACACUGAUACCCUUAAUGAAUUAACUUACAUUUAAAAUAUUAUUAUUUAUUAUUUUAUGUAGUUUCCUUUUUUAAAAAUUUCUAAAAAUAUACACACAGAAUAAAAAAUAAUUUUUUAUAAAGUUAAGAAAAAAAGAAGAAUUGAGAAACGAAAAUAUAUGUAUAUAUAAUAUGAUUUCAUAAAGAAAGGAAAGUUCACAAAAUAGUAAUAUUACAUUUAAAAAAUAUUUUUAAAUAACAUAAAAUAUUAUUUUGAACUAAUAAAAUACUUUCUUUAUAUCUAUAUUUUCUUAGAUGAAAAGUAUAAAUUUCUAUAUAACAUGAUUUCAUUAAAAACAAUUUACACAUAUAAUCUUGAUAUUAGAAACAAAAAUAUUGUUUCUUCUAAAUUAUAAUUUAAACAAUACAAAAAAGUUCAAAUUAAUAAAAAUAUUUUUAUAUACCUAUAUAUUUCUUAGAUGAUUACACAAAAUAAUUAAGUAACAUAAACUAAUAUAUGUUUAAUUAUCUAAAAAUAUUUUAUAAUUAGUAUUAUUGAAAUUUUUUAUAUAUUUUUCAUAAAUUUAGUUCACUAUAAUAUCUUUCAACUACAGCAAAAAAAUAUCGAUAAAUUAUAUUUUACUUAUAUAAUAUUAUUUUAAAUACAAUCACAAUUUGUUUAAUGCUUAUUUUUAAGAGUUUCAUAAAUUUAGUUGACUAUAAUAUCUUUCAAUUACAGCAAAAAAUAUUGAUAAAUUAUAUUUUACUUAUAUAAUAUUAGUUUAAAUACAAUCACAAUUUUUUACUGCUUAUUUUAAAGAGAUAUUAAAAAAACUAAAAAGAAAAUUCUAAAAUAAACAUCGUUUGAUCAAAUAGUUACAAAAUAGUUUAAUGAGGUAUAUAUAUAUUAUAUUUUAUCAUUAUUAAAGUUAUUUUUUCUUAAUAUUAAAUAUGCUUUUAAAUUUUAUGUUUUUGUAUUUGUGGAACUUAAUAGAAUCAUAAUCAAAAUAUCAAAGCAAAUCUGAAUUCUCAUUUUUAAGAUUAUUCAAAUAAAUUUUAGUUUUCAUUCAAUAAAUCAAAAACAUAAAGUUAUUUAGAAUUUUUAAAAUUAUUUAAUUAUUGUAAAUAUUGAUAUGUGUACAUGAGCUUUCAAAAAUGUAUCAGCUACUUACGCAUGCAACUUCAUAUUGAUAAUCCUAUAUUUUUUAAUAUUUUUUAAAAAAAAUUUUUCAAAAUAUAUUGGUUUACCAAUUCAACAUAAUUUUAAUAUGUUUGCAAAAAAACAUAAUUUUAAUAUGUAAUUCAUUAAUUAUUUCUAUUUUAAUAUAAUGUAGAAUAUACUUAUAAAAUUUAUAAAAUUAGUGAAAAAUUUCAUUAUUUUAUUUAUAAUAAAAUUUUAAUUAAAAUUAAUUUAUAAUAAUAUUAUACUACUAAUUGUGAAAUUAAUCAGUGUAUUAAUUAAAAGAAUAUUUAAAUUUUUUAAAAAAAUUUGUUUGUCUUUUUCUCAACAUAUUUUUUUAUUCCUAUAACUAAAAUUUAAAUUUAUAGUUAAAAUGGAUUUGUUAUUAAUAUCCUUAUUAUUAUUUAGAAAUGUUAUACAUUAAAUAAACUAAUGUAAACAAUAAAAAAAUUAUUUGAAUAUAUGAACCUAGACUUCUAGUAUGACUAUUUUGUAAUAGAUAAAAAUGAUAUUUUUAUUUUAAUAGAAAAGAUAACUCAUUUAAUUAAAUCUAAACUAAAUAUAAAGUAUAUUACCGAUCCUAAAGUAAGAAUUUUGAUGACCGAUUCUAAAGUGGGUUUUGGAAACAGGUGUCAGCCAAGCAUGGAUUCUAUUUUUCUUUUCUUUUCUCUUUUCUUUCUUUUCUUCUCAGUCUUGUAUUCUCAGUCUCGUGUUCAAUCGAAACACACCAAGAACAAUUGAAACCCGUAGUCGGGUUCCCCAUCAUCAUCACUUCUCCGUCUCGUCUUCUCUGUCUCGUCUUCUCCGUCUCAUCCUUCUGCUUUCUGUAAGUGUGUAUUUUUGUCGAUGAGGGUUUUGAUUGAUCUAGUGUUUAAAGCUCAAUCCCUUUUUUUUUUUAAUUUUGCUAUCAGGAGAUCGAAGAGAGGAAGAUGAAGAUAAUGACCUGGCCUUAGGCAACGAGUUUACUAUUGGAUAUACUUGACUUACAAGAUAACUACAAAUCUAGAUUAUCUUAGCUGUACAUAUUCUUAGAAUAUGUUGAGUAUAUUACUUUGUCAUGUACUUAUAAAUAUUGUACGUUGAUCAUUCAAUAAAGUAUCAUUCUCUCAUAAGUCUUAUAUGGUAUCAGAGCUCUGAUCUCUCAAAACCUUUCUUUUUCUUUUCAAAAAUGUCGUCUGAAUCCAGCGCCGCCACUGCUGAACGCACCGCGGUUUACAACUCAAGUGAUCCUAACAACUCACUUCUCUCGGUGAACAUGGGCAACAUCACCAAACUCACCAACACAAACUAUCUCAUGUGGAGCAAGAAGAUCCAUGCUUUACUCGAAGGUCAUGAACUUCACACCUUUCUCGUUGCACAUGACUCCAUCCCUACGCCAACUAUUGAAACAGAUGGUGCAACAGAACCAAACCCUGCAUAUAUCACAUGGAGGAGACAGGAUCGCUUACUCUACAGUGCGGUCCUAGGUGCGCUCUCCCUCCCAAUCCAACCUCUUGUUGCCAGUGCCACUACCACACAUGAGGUAUGGAGCACGCUUGCUAGUGCGUUUGGUACUCCAACCAGGGGUCACAUACGACAGCUGAAGUUCCAGAUCAAAAGCUGCACUAAGGGUUCCACAACCAUCAGUGAAUAUCUACGCACUAUGAAAACAAAAGCUGAUGAACUCGCGCUACUAGGCAAGCCAAUGGAUCCUGAGGAUCUCAUUGAACAAGUCCUUGCUGGACUUCCGGAGGAGUACAAACCUGAAGUAGAUGCUACCAAUGGUCGUGACAAUCUCAUCUCCUUUACGGAGCUUCACGAGAAACUGGUAAAUCGGGAAGCGAUGAUACUCUGUGCUCAACCAUCAUCUCCAGCCUUCCCAAUCACGGCAAAUCAAGCAUCUCGGUCCAAAAGCAACAACAACAACUGGCGCAAUCAAACUCCUCAACAUCAUCAGCAACAGCAACAAUCUCAGGGUCAACAACAACAACAAAACCGCAACUACACAAGGCAGUCUCGUCCUUAUCUUGGAAAGUGUCAAGCAUGUGGCGUUCAGGGUCACAGUGCUCAACGCUGUCCCAUGUUCCGUGUUAUACCAACUCAGAAUGCACCCUCCUCAGGACAGCAAUGGCGUCCCAGUGCCCAUCAAGCAGGUCUCAACACGAUGAACCCUGAAGGCUGGCUCAUGGACAGUGGAGCAACAAACCACGUGACAUCAGACUUCCACAACCUGUCACUUCACAACCCAUACACGGGAAGUGAUUCCAUUGUCAUUGGCAACGGCUCUGCACUUCCAAUAACACAUACUGGUUCUUUUCGCUCUCACACUCCUACUCGAGACUAUACAUUUAACAAUGUCCUUUGUGUGCCGUCUAUUCAUAAGAACUUGAUCUCAGUACAUCAGUUCUGCAAUGAUAAUCAAACCUCUGUGGAAUUUUUCCCUUCUAUGUUUCAGGUGAAGGCACUGGACACGGGAGCAACCCUGCUGAAGGGACUGGCUAAGGAUGGUAGCUACGAGUGGCCUUAUUCAACUCUAGGAGCUUUUUCUGUUUCAAAAUCAUCUUUGUCUCAUUGGCAUUAUCGCCUUGGACACCCUGCUUUUCCAAUUCUUAAAACAAUAACAUCUUCGUUUUUACCUUUGGUUUUAUGUAAUGCCUUGGAGUCUACUCCUUGCAAUUCGUGUUUAUUGAAUAAGAGCCACAAACUUCCUUUCUCUACUACUACAAUCUCUUCUACUCAUCCUUUACAUGUCUUGUUCUCAGACGUAUGGACCUCACCAGUCCUAAGUGUCGAUGGCUAUAAAUACUACUUGCUUAUUGUUGACCAUUUUACUCGUUACAUGUGGUUUUUCCCUCUUAAACUGAAGUCACAGGUAGCAGCAACCUUCACUCGGUUUAAAACUCUGGUGGAAAAUCAAUUCAACCAACGUCCGUACUCUAUACACUGACAACGGGGGAGAAUACAUUGCUCUUGCCUCCUUCCUGUCAACACAUGGUAUCUCACACCUUACAACUCCACCACACACGCCAGAACACAAUGGCAUGUCUGAACGACGUCAUCGUCACAUAGUGGAGACUGGACUAGCACUCCUCACACACGCCAAAAUGCCUCCUACAUACUGGACAUAUGCAUUUGCCACAGCAACUUACCUCAUCAAUCGCAUGCCAACAAAAACACUCGCUAUGAAGUCCCCAUACUCUCAGCUUUUUUCAGAGGAACCGCAUUAUGCAAAACUCCGAGUGUUUGGUUGCUUAUGCUACCCGUGGCUUCGUCCAUACACAUCUCACAAACUCGACCCCCGCUCCCUUCCAUGUGUCUUUCUUGGGUAUUCUCUAACUCAAUCUGCUUAUUUAUGUCUUCACUUACCAACUUCACGGCUUUAUGUCUCAAGACAUUUCGAGUUUUGUGAAAAUAACUUUCCUUUUCCGAGUUCAACCUCAUCUUCUGCUCACCAGGACGAGUCUGAACCCUCUUGGGUUCCGACAGUGACUCCACUAGUCAAUGAUUUCAGGUCACUCACGGCUCCUCCAGCACCAGCUAUGCUCACGUGUGCAGAUCCUUUGCCGAUGAACACGACAUCAGCAGCACCGGCUCACGGUGUGGCAACAACAUCAACAACACCUCCUGAUCAAAUCAUGACGACAAAAACGACUCAACCUGAGCCUCCUACUUCAUCGCUGGAACAAGUACCAACGAACAAUCAUCAAAUGGUCACUCGAGCAAAGAACAAAAUCGUCAAACAGAAUCCAAAGUACUCAUAUUCGGCUCAUCUAGUACUUGCUAGUCUUGACCCUCACACGGUGACUCAAGCACUAAAGGACCCUCUAUGGCGAGACUCUGUCAGCGCAGAAUUCAACAACUUCAUACGCACUGACACGUUUGAACUAGUUCCACCCUCGUCGGAACAGAACGUUGUUGGCUGCAGGUGGCUGUUUCGAACCAAGUUCCUCCCUGAUGGCACCAUUGACAAACGAAAAUCUCGCCUCGUCGCUAAAGGCUACACUCAACGUCCAGGCAUUGACUUUCAUGAAACCUUUAGUCCGGUUGUGAAAGCUCCAACAAUUCGAAUCAUCAUCAGUGUUGCAACUACGGGGGAUUGGCCGCUGCGACAACUUGACAUCAACAAUGCAUUUCUCCAGGGAACUCUCGAUGAAGAUGUUUAUAUGCAACAACCUCCAGGCUUUGUUGACAAGGAUCGUCCCGAGUAUGUGUGCAAACUCAAGAAACCAAUAUAUGGCCUCAAGCAAGCCCCGCGUUCGUGGUACAAUGAGCUCAAACGGUUCCUCCUGCAAGCUGGAUUUCGCAACUCACUUGCUGAUGCCUCUUUAUUCUUCUUUAAGGAUAAAUCUGUGACCAUGUAUCUUCUUGUGUACGUUGAUGACAUAAUCAUCACAGGAAGCUCUCCAACUGCAGUCCGGUCAUUCAUUGAUCUCCUCUCCAAUCGCUUUGCCCUAAAGGACCUUGGAGAUCUCUCCUACUUCCUUGGCAUUGAAGUCACCCGCUCCAGUUCUGGUGUUGUUCUCUCUCAGCGAAAGUACAUCUCUGAUCUUCUUCAUCGAACUCUUAUGACAUCUGCAAAGCCCACUGCUACUCCUAUGUGUUCUUCAUCGUCACUGACUCUCACAGAUGGAACACAGCUGUCUGAUGGAACUGAGUAUCGUACAGUGGUUGGUGGUCUGCAAUAUCUCUCUCUCACUCGACCGGACAUCUCAUUUGCGGUCAGCAAGCUCUCGCAGUUCAUGCACAAACCCACAACGACGCAUUGGGAAGCAGCAAAACGUGUUCUUCGGUAUCUUGCUGGCACUAUAACAACUGGUCUCGUCUUCAAGCGUCCCAACUCACUGUCUCUCCAUGCCUUCUCCGAUGCUGAUUGGGCUGGCAAUCGAGAUGACUAUACCUCCACUGGAGCUUACAUUGUAUUCCUUGGACAGCACCCCAUUUCGUGGUCAGCUAAGAAACAGACGAGUGUCUCCAGAUCAUCUACUGAAGCUGAAUACCGGUCUGUUGCUAACACCUCUGCUGAAGUUUGCUGGGUCACCUCACUUCUUAACGAAAUAGGUGUUCCUAUACCUGCUACUCCCACUGUAUAUUGUGACAACAUUGGCGCUACUUAUCUUGCAGCAAACCCUGUCUUUCACACCAGGAUGAAGCACCUUGCACUUGACUAUCACUUUGUUCGCAAUCAAGUUCAGGCCAAAACACUGCACGUCACACAUGUCUGCUCCGCUGAUCAGUUAGCAGAUGCCUUGACCAAACCCCUGCCUCGUCGUCGGUUUGAGUCUCUGUUUAUCAAGAUCGGACUUGUAAAUCGCCGUCCGUCUUGAGGGAGCAUAUUGGAUAUACUUGACUUACAAGAUAACUACAAAUCUAGAUUAUCUUAGCUGUACAUAUUCUUAGAAUAUGUUGAGUAUAUUCCUUUGUCAUGUACUUAUAAAUAUUGUACGUUGAUCAUUCAAUAAAGUAUCAUUCUCUCAUAAGUCUUAUAUUUACAACGUCAAUGGCCUUAGGCAAUGAGUUUCCCAGUUCGACUAAUGAGAAAGGUCGUACUGGUUACUCCGGUACGCAUCAAUCAGACAAUCACUCUGUCUUUAAUUUUUUUUUAAAAAAUUGGAUUUUUAUAAUGUUUGUUGAGUGAAAAAUUUGUAGGUGUAGCAACGUUCUGCAGGGUGAAGUCACUAUCUUAAUUAGAUGAAGCAAUGUUGCCUAAGGCCGUUGACGUUGUAAGUCACUAUCUUAAUUAGGAUAAUACGAUGGAUGCUUGUGUUGAAUGCUUCUGAUGAAUGGUUGUGAUGUUUUAGUGUUACAUUAAGAUGAAGACUUUGAACCCUAUUACUAUUGAGAUGUGGUUAAGUUAGGACAAACUCUUUGUUUUCUACAGAGAGCUAUGGCACGCUUGUGCUGUUCCUCUCGUGACAGUCCCUUGUUUGUUGCUGGUCUCUUCCUUUUGCUCUGUUCUUGAGUUUUAAUCUUUAUCAUAUAUCAUCAGAAACUGCUACUAGUUUCUCUGUCAUUAGUAUAUGUUUCUCUCUUUUGCUCUUGCAGCGUUCUUAAUUUCUUAUUCAAUGCUCCAUGAAACAAGAUGGUCACUUGUAGGUUGGUUAAUCUCGCCUUGUCAAGCCGGAAGAAGAGAGAGCGGUGACAAGGUGAAGCCGGAAGUGGAGACAACGGUGAAGCUACGGCUGAGGCGGUGAAGCCGAGGAGUACAGACGGAAGUUGGGCUAGUAUCAUUUUCUGGUUUUGAUUGUUUGGUCUCUGAAGUUAUAUCAUUCAUAAGAGUGAUUAGGAAGUGUUUUUGGAUUAUGAAAAGACCAAUUUUUUUAAGAAUCUUUGAUUAAGAAACUUUCAUUGGAGGACAAAAUCUAAUAGUUUUUUAACUAGAGUUUUUAAGUACAAAUAAUUACUUGACAGUUAUUUUUGGAUUCACCCCCUAAGAUGAACCUAUAGGUUCACCAACCAAUAAGAUUUAGUUAUUUUAAAUCUGAUAUCUUUUAAAAAAGAAAACAAAAUAUUGUCAAAUUAUAUUACGUUUUUAAAAUUAAAAAAAUUAUAAAUAAAUAAAAAUAAUAGUAGUUACAAAAAAAAAUUAAUACCAUAAACAAAACACUAAACUCUAAAUCUAAAUCCUAAACCCUUUGGUAAACCCUAAACCUUUUGAUAAAUUUUAAAUUCUUGAAUUUAAAAAAAAAUAUUUUUAACACAAUCAACAAAACACUAAACCCUAAAUCCUAAUCCUAAACCCUAAACCCUUGGGUAAACCCUAAACCCUUGGAUAAAUCCGAAACUCUUGGAUCAAAUCUUAAACUUUAAGAUUUAUGAUUUAUUCAAGAGUUUAGGGUUUACCUAAAGGUUUAGGGUUUAGGGUUUAAUAUUUGUUGGCAGCGUUAAAAAUACUUUUGAAAAACAAAUUCUUUUUUUUUAGAUUAAAAAAUCUUCUUUUUGUGAUUAAUACAAUUUUUAUUUUAAAAAUAUAAUAUAAUUCAAUAAUAUUUUGUUUCCUUUUUUAAAAGAUACUGAAUCUAAAAUGACACAAUCCUAUUGGUUGGUGAACCUGUAGGUUCACCUAGGGAGUGAACCCAAGAAUAAGUCAUUACUUAAAUAAUCACUAAGAAACUCAAUUGGGAUUAUAGGGUUAAUCAUGCUCUAAGAUAUAUGAUAUUUACGUCAACAUUUAGCAGUUAAUGCCACAUAACCUUCAAGGGGUAAGAGGUUACUUGUGGACGUACACCGACAGAGAUAACUGUUCAAUCUAUUUUCAAUACUGUACAAUGUAUAGUGUUUUCUGUGGUCAGUUGGCUAACAAUUAGAACUAUACAGCAAAGAAAUGGUUUGUAGAAACUCGACGACUCUUAUUGAGCCAUCGUUUAUUAAGUUACUAGGUUAAGACAUGUGUCUUGCGCGAAAUGAAUGUUAUAUAUAUAAAUUAUUUUAUAUAAUUUAAUAGCUUAAGUAAUUUAUAAUAUUUUUAAAAAAUUAAGUUGUCAAUAUUUCGACGAUUCGACAACCGACAAUACUACCUGCCUAAUGAAGACCUACACCUAACUGCGCAUCACCUGAGCCGUCCUAUGAAGAUUCACGUCUGGCCAGAUUUACUUGCACCAUGUUGAAAAUCCCUUGCAAGCCUUUUCCUCUGUAGUCUGCAUAAUUGUUUAAUAAACUGCUCUCUCCGGGACGUGAAACCUGGAUUUCUUGUAAUCUGCAAUAAAUUGUAUAGUCUGGGAUUCGAACCCCAGACCUGGAUGUAGAAGCCUUUAAACCUUAACCAAUAGGCUACGGUGCUUCUACUAAAGCACAUUAAUAAUGUAAUUAUGGUUAGUUUAAAAAUUAAACAAAUAUAAUAUAAGACACUUAUUUUUAUCAAAUCUUUAUUUUUUAAAAUCAUUAAUUGUCAUAUAUAUUUUAGUCAUAUUAGGAAAUUUCAUAAUUUUAUUUAUGGAAAUAAUAAAGCACAUUAAUAAUGUAUUUAUGGUUAAUUUAAUAAAAAGUUUAUUAUAUAUUUAAAUAGACCAACCUAUUUCUCUAAGGAUUCUAAAAAUCAUUCUAAUGAUGACAUGUGGCUACAAAAAAAUGUUGUAAUAUUUCUCGAAUAAUAUAUAAAGGAUUUGGCAUCUUAUGUAUUGAUAGUAUACCCUUACAAAAUUUAGCUAUGGCAAAUGGGUUAAGUGGAAAAAAUUUAACCUUUAAGGUUAAACAAUAAUAUAUAUUGUGUAGUUAAAAACUUCUGUGACAAAAAAAAAGUUUAGUCAUGGAAGCCUUAGGCGAACAAAAGUAAAAAGAUCCCUCUUGUUACUUUACCCAUAAACAACAUCGGUGAAUUCUUUACUGCUCUAUGAAUCAUGCAGUCACAUUGUUGGAGUCACCCGCUUCGAAUCCAUGCCGUUGAACUGAUGGGUUGUGUAGUUCCUUAAGCACUCCUGUCAAAACAUAAAAUAAUUUAUAAAAAGUUUCAUUCUUUUAUUCCACUCUUUGAAAAUGCAAUGUUUUGCAUGAUUUGAGUUUUGCAUUUCAGAUUAUCGUUUCGUUGGCAUCAGUGUGAUCACUCUGCAACAAAGCACCAAGAAUCCUUCCCUUUGCUUCACCAAUAUCUUCCUUAGGCAACCUAAAUAUCAUCAUUCUUUGUUGUUUUCUCUCACAUCUCUUCAAAUGCUGUGAUUUUGUGUGAUCUAGGUUAAAUUUAAACUGUGUGAUGUUUUUGUCUGCUUAUGGUUACAAUCACUUACUUCAUUGGCUUAUUACUUUGUCUUGGAUUGGGAUAUACUUACGCGUCUUCAUGAGAAAACAUUGGUUAUGGCCAUCAUUUCUUUGUGCUUGACCCUAGACUGUGUCUUCGUGGAUUUUGUGUUUGGUAUUAUUCAAAGGCCCACUUAAUGCUUUUUUUUGGCUGAAUCAUCUCCCAUGUUCUGUUACUUGUGUUUGUCUACCAUUUUGCACUAAGAUGUUCGCCUCUGUACGCUCACAUGUUUAUUAUUAGGUUAUUGUUGGUUCAGUUUGUCUUCUAACAAACCGAGAUGAAUUUAUUGGUUGACUGAAGCUCACAUUGUUCUUCUAAUUUCUUUUGUUUAGACUAAUAUUCUUUUCGUUUAAUUUUCUGAAGAUAAGUAUACAACUAUGUUUGACCACCAAAUAUAUACCAUUUUGAUCUUGUACGAUGUACCAUUUCAUUGACUCCAGCAGUGCUUAGCUUGAUAUUUCCAGUAAACAAAACAUAAUUCCAAAACAAACACUAGUUCCAAACUGUAGAUUUCUUUUUCGCUUGAAGAGUUAAAUGAAGAAAAGAAAAAGAAGUACAUACGUUAAGCAUAUAUAUGAUGGGACUCAUUACUCCGCACUGAACUCAAUUUGAUCGUUUAGCACCAAUUUUGUUUUUUUUUUUUUUGCAAUGGUAGACCACUCAGACUCUUCAAAUAUUUAUGUAAAAGUGAUCUGAUCUUCAAACUAUCAAAAUAAAGAUGUGAUCUUUGAUAACUUAGGGGUAACAUCUUUGCCACAUAACUAGAUUGAAAUCCGCGCGGAUGCGCGGAUAUAUUUACAAUUUUAUUAUAAAAUUUGGAUUAAUAAUUUAAUAGUAAUGUAACUAAUUUUAUCAUUGAAAUUUUAAUAUUUUAAAAGAUAUUUUUUAUCGACAGGUUUUUGGAUUGUUCAAAAAGUUAUAAUGUUCCAACUAAAAUUGACUUCAUUAAUAUAUAAGUUCAAAAAUAUAAGAAUAAUAACCAAUCAAUUUGUUUAAGUUUUUAAUAAUAUUCGAUUAUAUAUAUUUUUAUUAAAUCAUUCUAGAUUUUCUCAGUUCAAAUAAGAUAUUAAUAUCUAUAUAUCAAAAACAAACAGAUUUUUAAAAUAUAAAUUUUUAAAUUCGAAUAUCUAUUUACAUAAAUAUAUUAUAUUAAACUAUUACUUUUUUGUUACAGUACUUUUAAGCCUUCAUCAUUAUAUAACAAGAUAUGAGCCCAUUGCGUUACAACGGGUUUUGUUUGAUAUUUUAAUUUAAUAAAAAUUAUAAAAUAUUAAAUCAUUUUAUUAUAGAUUUAUGAUUGUUUUUUGCAUUUGUUGUUUGAAAUUAUUUUAUAACUAAAACUCGUUUUCACAUAUAAGUUCAAGUUAAUAUUUGUAUUUUAUAAUCAUGGUGUAUAAAUGAAUUGUUAUAAACUUUGUACAUAUGAUUAGAGUAAAUAUUAUACCUAAACGUUUAAACUGAAUACAACCUGAAAUAAGAAAUUGAAUGAAAAGUAAAAAGAAAUGAAAGUCAAAUACACCAAUCAAGUGAAUGACAACAUUAUACAUGUUUUAUAUACUAAUUUAAUGUUUUAUUAAAUAAGUCUUUAAAGUUUUAUUUUGCUAGGAUUUUUUAAAAAGGAAAACAUUCUAUUUUAUAAAUCUCUUUUGUAUUUACAAUAAAAAAUAAAAAAUAAUAUUAAAUACUUCUUUACAAUUUUGUUUAAGAUUAUAGAAAAGGAAAAUUACUAUCAUAUAACCAAUUACGACUAUCUUCUCUUUAAAAUUUCAAAAAAAAAAUUGCUAUCAAAUAAUUAUUUUUAGUUAUCAAUAUAUAAUUUUAAAAAUUACUGUUUUUACAAUUUGUAUUAAUACCAAUUUUAUAUUUUUUUUGUUAAUUAAAUAAUUUUUAGUAUCAUGUUCGUCAUUAAAUACUCUCUUAAAAAUAUUAUCAAAUAAAAUUUUACAAUUCUCUUUUGGUUAAAACUUAAAAAUAUGAUAAAAAUUUCUUUUGGUUAGGAUUUUCUUAUAAAAAAACAAAAACAACUAUCAAAUACUUUUUUACAGUUUUUUUUAGGAUGUUAGAAAAGGAAAUUAAUAUUAUAUAAACUUUUAUGAUUAUAUUUUGUCUAGGAUUUAGAAAAAUAAAAUUUCUAUCAAAUAAUUAUUUCUAUUUAAUAUUUUUUUUUUAAGUUCCCAGUUUUGAAAUUCGUUUUUUCAAUAUCAUUAAUAUUUUUACUAUUUUUCUUGUUAAUUAAAUAAUUGUUACUAUUAUGUUUAUUAUUAGUUUUUUAAGGAAAAAUUAUUAUUAAAUAAAAUUUUACAAUUCUCUCUCGUCAAGAUGUAAAAACAAUUUCAAAUAAUUGUUACUAUCAUGGUUAAGAUUAGUUUUUUUUUGUUUUUUUAGAAAUCUCUUUUAUUUAUGAUUUUAGGAAAAGAUGAAGUUAUUUCACAUAAUUACAGUUUUUAUUGACACAUUCACAAUCUAAUUUGUUUUAGUUGACACAUGUCACAAUCAUAUCAUGUGAAUAUUUGAAGUUAAUUUUGUUUUAUAUUUUUUUAACACAAAACUAUUAAAAAGUAAAGUUAGUUAAUUAUAAGAAAAAUAAGAUUACUUUUACAUUUUUGUUUUAUUUAGACUUUUAAAAGGGAAACUAAUUAUUUGAUAAUUUGUUUUUUUAAUAUUUUUAUACAACUAUUUUAUUUUAAUGGAAAAAAUUCUGUUAAAUUAUUUAUAUAUUUUGUCUUAUACAUACAAACACAUGUCACAAUAUUAUCAAAUUAUAUUUUGCAAUUACAUUUUUAUUAGGAUUUAAAAAAAAGGAAAGUUACUAUUAAAUAAUAUUUAUCAUUACUUUUUAAUAAAAUUUGUUUUUUUUAAUAUCUUAGUAUAUAUAUUUUUAAUUAUGAGAUAGAUUAACACAUGUCACAAUCUUAAAUUUUUUAAAAAUCUUAUUUGGUGAAGAUUAAAAAAGGAAAAAUUAUUUUACAAAUCUAUUUUAUUUAGAAAUAAAUAUUACUUUUUUAUAGUAAGUUUUACUUAAUGAUUUUUGUUAUAUAAUUUCUUGUACUUGUAGGAUUUUCUAAUUCGUUUUUUAUAGAUUUGUUUUAAUUAAUAUUUUUCUUUUACAAUUUUCUUUCUUUAUUAUCUUUAAGAACGAAAUUUAAAAAGGAAAUUUUGUUAUUUAUAGUAAAAUAAUAGUAAUACUUUUAAAAUUUUCUUUUGUUUAGGCUUUUAAAAGAUAAACUAGACUUUGAUCCGCGCACCCGUGCGGAUGUUAUUCAUUUGCAAUGUCAAUUUUGUGUUAGCAAUUUUCUUGAUAUAGUUGUAUAUAUGUAACCAUGUUAAUUAGGGAUGGGUUUUUCGGUUUAAUUCUGAAUUCGGCUUGGUUUAUUUUGGUCUAGGAAAACUUUAUACAAAGUCAAUCCAAAUUAGUUUAGUUUGGUUUGUGCUUGUUUAGUUCAUUUGUGUUGAUUUUUUAGUUUUUUUCUAGUCCAAUUACAAAAAUAUAAACAAAUCAUCAUUUGACACGAAAUCAUUAUUUUUUUUUUCAUUUUUAAACAUAAAGCCAAACAUUACAAUAAGCAUGUAGAAAAUGUAAUCUAAUAGUUUGAUGCUGUUAUCAUUAAACCUAAGAUCAAUAUCAUAGGUAAUUUUUCAAUUGUGAUAUUAAUGUAAGAGAUUCAUAUUCUUUUAUUUUAUUUUUAGUUGCGUUUUUCUGUUAAUUUUGAAGUAAAAUAUAAAUUUAUUUAAUUUUUUAGGUUAAAUGAUUAAAUAUAUAAAAUCUUAAUAUUAUUAGUAUAUUUAAUUAAUCUAAUUUAAAAAUACUUCAGUUUUUUGGUUCAAUUUAAAACCAAACCAUUUGGAUUGAUAAAAUCUUCAACGAAAUGAUUUAGAUAUAUACUUUAUAAGUUUGGUUUGGAUCGAUUUGGGUUCGGAUGGGUCGGUUUGGUUUGGUUCGGUUCGGAUCGGAUUUUUUGCCCAUCCUAUUGUUAAUUAAUACUUAGUAGUGUAAUUUUUCAUCACUUAAUAAUGUAUUCUAUGGUGAUAAAAAAAACAAAGUUAUAGAUUAACAUAAGUUAUUCUUGUUAGAUAUAUAUCUUGUGUUGACAAAAAAAUAUAUCUUGCAAAUGGAUAAUAUACAUUAUAGGAAUAUAAUAAAAAAUUACAACGGCAAAUAUCUUUAUUAUUGUUAUUAAUAUCAUAGCUUAAAUUUAUGGGUUAGUUAUGUUAAGUUAGUAAGAUGUUCAAUAAUUUUAGGAAUAUUUACUUGAUUUCUUAUGUACUAUAUCGAUAGAAAAAAUUUAAUUUUUGAGUUAAUGUUAUGUCUAACUAAAUUAUGAUUUGCUUGUUAGUGGGGGUAAGAAGUUAAUGGGAUUUUUCUUGCUUAGUGUAAUAUGCCGUGGAGUACUAUGAAUAAUUAGUAAAGUUUUAGAGUUACUACCAGUGGCAUUACAUUGUAAUUAUUUAGGAAAAAUAAGGGUCAAACCUUAUUUGUACUCUUGUUUUAAUAGUUUAGAUAUUACUUAUUUUAUAGUUAGUUUUACUUAAUGAUUUUUAUUAAAUAAUUUCUUGUACUUGUAGGAAUUUCUAAUUCGUUUUUUUCUAGAUUUGUUUUAGUUUAUAUUUUUCUUUUACAAUUUUCUUUCUUUAUUAUCUUUAAAAACGAAAUUUGUAUUUUUGAAAACAAAAAAAAUUACUUUCAAAUAGAUUUUUACAAUUAUUUACUUGUUUAGGAUUUAAAAAUAUAAAAAUUACUAUCCAAUAAUUUUAACAAUAUGUAAUUGUAAAAGACUAUGUAAUAGCAAUAUAAUCUUUUACAAUUUUCUUUUGUUUAGGUUUAAAAAAAAAAUAUCACUUAUUUUAUAUUUAGUUUUACUUUUUGAUUUUUAUUAAAUAAUAUCUUGUACUUGUAGGAUUUUAUAAUUCGUUUUUUUAGAUUUUGUUUUAGUUAAUAUUUAUCUUUUACAAUUUUAUUUCUUUUUUAUCUUUAAAAACGAAAAUUAUAUUUUUUUAAACCAAAAAUUACUUUCAACUAACUUUUUACAGUUAUUUACUUGUUUAGGAUUAAAAAAGUAAAAAUUAAUAUCCAAUGAUUUAACAAUAUAUAAUUGUAAAAGACUAUGUAAUAGUAAUUGUUCUUUUCCAAAAUUUUUAAAAAAUCGUGAAAAGAUAUAUUUAAAAUGAUAACUUUUAUUUUCUAAAUCUCUUUUAAAUCUUAAGAAAAAAAAUCAUAUUUUUGACACAUGUCGCAAUCUUAAAAAAAUUAUUGACAUAUGUCGCGAUCAUGUUAAUUAGCAACUUUGAAGAACCAAGCUUUAUAUAAUAGGAUUUACAUUAUGUUUUUCAAGAUUUCAUAUAUUUUACUAUUCUUAUAGCAAUAUUUACUAUUUUAAACAACAUAUGAAACCCCAAAAUAUUAUAUUAUACUUAGGUGCAAAAACUUAUAUAUAUAUUUGUAAAAUAAAUAAAGAACAUAUAUACCUAUGAUUAUGUAAAUCUAAUAUAUACUUUUAAAAUAAAUAUAUUUACUAUUUAAAUAUAUCUUAUUUUUGAAAUUGUGGUUAAGAUCGGUUACAAAAAUCUACUUGCAAAUAUGUAGGGGAAUAAAAUUCUUUUUAAUUUUCUUUAAAUAUUAUACUUUUAGUUGAUUAUGUUAAAUAAUAAAUAAGAUAUAUUAAAUGUCUAGUGAAUUGGUCUAACAACAUUCGUAAAUAAAAAAUAAGACUCUAAAUUAAUAGAAUAGAUAUAACUAUAAGUGUUUGAAGCCUUGCUUGCAGACACAAAAACGGGACCGUUAGGCAAACCCUACAACCUUACAUAAAACUCUUCCACGAAACGUCUUCUUCGGCGGGGCUGCUAACAGAAAAGAAAAAUCAACAUCCUCUCAAUGAAUGUCUCGGGUAAGUCGAAUCACGUCUUGUUUUGUCUUUGAAGUUUCUGUUAUGUUAUCAAUAUUAUCCUGUUGAAUCAUGUGCUGUACGUUUUAGCCUUAUUUUUGAUUCGAUUUAAUUAUCCCGUUGAAUCAUCCGAUUGGUUGAUUCGAUUCUUAGAUCUCUUGUCCUGUCUUUGAAGUUUCUUGUUAUGUUAUCAACAUUAUCUUGUCCUAUUUUCCAUUCGAUUUGAUUCUGAUUUAGCCCUAUUGUUGGUUAUACAGCUGAUGAACGAGAGGACUCGAUGUCUAUUGCAAAACCAGUAACUCCUACUCUGAAGACAAAUCUGAAGAAGCAGACGAAUAAGAAUAAGAAGACAUGUAAAAAAUAAGAAGAUAAACUAUUUUUUUUAGAUUGAAUGCUUUGUGUUGAUUAUGAGCUUUUUUUUUCUUUUUCAGUCUCUCUCUUAAGUAGGACCGUGCUGCACCUGUGUUCCAGUAGCAAAACAAAUCUGAAGAGGCAGAAGAUACUUAAGGAGAGUAAAGCAAAUUUGAAGAAGCAGAAGAAAACUGAGGUUAUAUUCUGUGAAACUCUUGCAUAGUUACAUUGAUUGUUAGAAAAGGAAAACUGCAAAGGUUAGAUUUUUAUUUGUCCUUGUUGUUUUUGUCUAUCAAGAGAGAGAGAAAAAAGAAGGAAGAUUCUUGCUGUUUUGGAUGUGAAGAAGCCUACGAAAAUAAUGAUGAAACCAUUUUCGUUAAGGGAUUUCAACAUUUGCGUCCUAGGGAUGAAAUCAAGAAUGAAUUGAGCAACAUUUUUGGUUCUUGUGGAAAGAUAAUAAGCGUUUUUGUUCCCAUGCACUGUGGUACCUGUGUUCCCUUGGGGUUUGUCACUUGUUCCCUUUUUUUGAAUUAUUUUUGUUUCGUUUUAUCUUAUUCUUAUCAUAUAAACUAAAGAUUGUGUCGUUUCUUGAUAACAGAUUUGCUUUCAUUAAUCUCUUAAAUGGCAAAGAGAAGGCGUUGAAACUAAAUGGAAGUUACAUGGGAGGAAGAAAGCUUAAGGUGAUGAUUGCUACUGAUAGUGAUGAAUACUUCGGGUUUGAUGACUUUGAUGGGUGUGACCUUUGUGGAGGGCCAGGCAAGGUCAGAUCUCGCAGGUAAACCCCCCCUCUCUCCGAUCCAUGAAUUUGCUCUUGUUAUUGAUUCUUUUUUUUUCUUGAUAACAAAGUAACUUUUUCUAUUGAUUUUGCAGGCCGAUUGACAUUGAUAAGGUUUCUUUCGAAUUGUACCACUGAACCCGAGCUUAUUUUUAUUAUCUAAUUAUUUUGUCUUAUAUGAUUUUGACUCUGCUAUGCGUAAAUCAAAUUAUGUAAGAAACUCUUUAGUAUGGAGACGGUGGUUUUCUGAAAUUUUUGUUGAAAAAUGAUUUGGUUAAAAAUUAUGUAAGAAACUCGUGGAUCUUAGUUUUCCACAACCUCUCAGCCGAAGUUAAUUCUGUGUGGGUAAAUUCUCUUUUGCAAAUCUUAGUUUUACGAAAGUGAAUCGAACGCUUGCCUCUUGUUUUCACAUCACUAUAAUUUAAAUUUUCUUGUAGUUAUGCAAUAUGAACAUAUCUUUGCUUUCUAAAAUAGUAAACCAUAAAUUUUGCUUUCUAAAAUAGUAAACCAUAAACUUUACUAUAACAGCUACUCUGAGUAAACUCAGAUGUUGAUCAUUACAUCUCAAUAUUGUUGUUUACUACAACUAUAGACAAGCUUGCUAGAAUCAGCAAGACUAAUUUCAGAAAAUGCCAUCAAGCGUAUCUUGUAUUUCAUGGACUCCCACUCUUCUCAACAUCUGUUCCAUGUACCUACAAUUCAGUUCAUUCAAAAGAUUGGUAUUUGGCAAAUGUGUAUAUGUAAUAAAAAUGGAUUAGCUAAUAAUUUAUCUUCUUAACAAACCAUAUAUGCUAGUGUGUCAUUUAACUAUUAAACUAGAGUUUAUCGCGCACACCGUGCGGAUAUAUUUUCAUUUUAUAAAUAUUUAAUUUUGAUAUUAUUAUAUAAAUUUAAAUAUACAAUUUAUAUAUUAGUGCUAUGUAUUUUAUAACUCUUUAAUUUUAUUGUUUAGGUUUCUUAUUACUUUAUUAAUAUAGGGGUUUGUUUUAUACAUUUUACCUUUUUUAUUACGUUUUCGAGUUUUCAUAAUUUGAAAUAAUCAAAUAAAAAAUAUUCUUUAACAUAUGAUUUUUGAAAAUAUAUAGCUGUAGAAAUAAAUUUUUAACAUAUGUUAAUAACUUCAUUUGUAUAAAAAAAUCUGACAUGAUUAACAAAUUUGAACCCGUUUUAGUGGUAGAUGAUAAUUUAUUUAAAUGAAAGCAUUAUAUUACUUAAUUACGAAAUUAAUUAAUGUAAUAUUUAAUAAAAAUUAUUUAAAAAUUUAGUAGGAUUUUGUUAGAUUUUUCUCAACAAAUUUUGUUAUAACUGAAGAUAAAAUUCAAAUCUAUAGUUAAAAUUAAUUUAUUAUUAAUAUUCUUAUUAAUUAUUAUGUCAUAUUAUAUGAUUAAUGAAAUGAUCCUAGUAGAUUUUUAAAUAGUAGAUAAAAAUGGUAGUUCUCUUUUAAUAGAGAAGAUGUUACCAAGAAUUUCAGAAAUUUUACUAUAAACACAUUGUUAUUUUUAUAUCACUUAUAGUAUUUUUGUACAUAUUUCUCUUUACAUUGGUUUCUCUAUCAGAUUAACUUUAACAAACUCAUAGGCAACUUAAAAUAAAGCUUCAAGCUAAGAAUUAUUUCGUAUAAUUGUAUAUAUGUUUAAAGUAAGUUUGAGAUAAAAAAAACACACAUCCACUAAUACUACGCAACAAGGCGUGUUAGGCUUUGGUCAUGGCCAUGUCCAUGGUAACAAAAAAGCAAACCAAAAAUGACAUCAUCUUGUCAGUGAUAUCGUUUCUUUAAGAAAUGUAAUCUAAUAAAGCUUUCUAGUGAGUGACAAAACUAUUUGGCACUGGUUAGUAGAUAUGAUGUUCAUUUUAUUUGUAAAGAACUCUUCUUCGUCAUUAUCCAAAGUCUCCUCCUGCUUUUAUAUAAUUUAUAUUUAGAUUUUAUAUAAUUUUGUUGUGAACUAUUAGCUUAGAUGUAUAUCUUUAUAUAUAUAUAUAUGUAUUUAUGUAUUGUUAUUAUAGGUUUUAUAUUUUGUAUUUUGGAGAAAAUGAAACAACGAGAGAGGGUGAGAGCUAGAAGAUGAUCUGAUUCUUAUUCAGCUUUUUCAUCUUUCACCUACAUCACUACAAGAAAUAGGGGGUUUGAUAGCAGUCAAGGAUAGUGGGUUUGCCUUUCUACUGUGGUUGAUAUACCUUUUAAUUUUAAAUAAUGUUUGUAUAUUUAGAAACAUUAUAAUAGAAUGGUAGAUAGUGUCGACACCAGAAAAAUUGUCAGUUUUUGCAAGUUAUUUAGAAGAUAUCAAAUACCUGGAAGAAAGCUUUACGAACUCGAAAAUCAUUCAUGUACCAAGAAUGCAAAACACAAAGGCGGAUACCUUAGCACGCAGUGUGAGACAACAGCCAUCUUUCGUCGUUCAUAUGAAUGAAGAGCAUCCGGUUUAAUAUUCAGAGUCUAUAUGAAUAUGUUGAUGUUGAUGACAAAAAAAAAUGGAUAAAUCCAAACUUAUAGUUUUUCAAUGGAAUAUUCUUCAUUUUAUCUUUCUAUUUAGUAAUAUUUAACUCAUGAAUUUCUAUGUGUUUUAGGUUGUUUCCGUUAAGAGUUUUUAAAAUCUAUAUACAACCAUGAACUCAACGUGCAGAUGAACCACAAACGAUUUUUUAUAUUUAUCUAUUUCUUUUUAACUAAACCAUUUCUCUGUCCAAUCAUCCUUUGAUGAGCUCUGUGUUUUCUCUGAUAUCACUGGAUAUGCUUACGGCAAACUUAAAUGCCGAAAUAAGCUGUACAAUGAAGAAAACCUGAACUUCUUGUUCUAUAAGUUUAACACAAAAGCAGAACUAAUUUCAGAAUAAAGCAACAAGCAUAGUUAGAUACAGUAAAUCUAUGUUGUUAUUUUCCAACCCCCUUUCCGUGCUCGAUGACAUUUACCUGAUCAACAAACACGCAGAUGUCUUCACAUAUACCACUUUAGUUGAUGCACUGGGAAAGAAAGGUAGAAUAGAAGAAGCAACGAAACUUACGAACAAGAUGCUUCAUAAGGGCAUAGAUCCCACCCCUGUCACAUACAGGACUGUCAUCC
rnacentral:lncRNA from 1 species